rnacentral:rRNA from 1 species
GACGAACGCUGGCGGCGUGCUUAACACAUGCAAGUCGAACGGAAAGGCCCUGCUUUUGUGGGGUGCUCGAGUGGCGAACGGGUGAGUAACACGUGAGUAACCUGCCCUUGACUUUGGGAUAACUUCAGGAAACUGGGGCUAAUACCGGAUAGGAGCUCCUGCUGCAUGGUGGGGGUUGGAAAGUUUCGGCGGUUGGGGAUGGACUCGCGGCUUAUCAGCUUGUUGGUGGGGUAGUGGCUUACCAAGGCUUUGACGGGUAGCCGGCCUGAGCGGGUGACCGGCCACAUUGGGACUGAGAUACGGCCCAGACUCCUACGGGAGGCAGAAGUGGGGAAUAUUGCACAAUGGGCGGAAGCCUGAUGCAGCAACGCCGCGUGCGGGAUGACGGCCUUCGGGUUGUAAACCGCUUUCGCCUGUGACGAAGCGUGAGUGACGGUAAUGGGUAAAGAAGCACCGGCUAACUACGUG